UUAAAAAUGUAUAAAUGAAACCCUCUCUUAACUCUACUAGAUUUGGUCAGGCUCCAUGGAUGCCCCAGAGGGCAGCUGCUCAUUGCCUCCCAAGGAGGCGCAGCACAGAUCCAUCUUGGCCCCACACCUGUUCAAAGUGCACAUUCAGCAACUGGGAAAAGUGUAAGCAUGUGGAGAGUCUGCUCUCUCCUGUGUUUCCAUUGGACCCAGGCUAGUCAUCAUAGAUGUUCAAGAAAAAGGCAGGCCUCAUCAAGACCAGCUAGGACAGCCUGCUCCUCUUACAGAAGCAUGGAGGCUUCCUUGGUGGGUUUUGUCACUGCUGCAGAGCCCACAUUGGCUGCCAGGGCCCAGCUUGAAAGGCUGGUCCUUAACAAAUGGAGACCAAAACAACAUGCAUUCAAUGCCUCCAAAGAAUCGCCAACUCCCUUUCCCUUCCCUGGCCAGAGCUUCCAAGAUCUGCUGCAGGCGCCCUACUGGUGCUGGAACCCCUUUUCAAAAAAAAGUUAAGGUAAAAACACUCAGUUAUAGGCCUACCUUAUGACUUAAUGAUUUUUGAAAAUAAUUGUCCUUAUUUGGAUGUUUAAGGACGCCACAGACCAGAACUUGCAAGAUCUAAACAGGGUGGUUUAUAAGGAGGUGGCUGAUUCAUAGGGUCACCACAAGUCAUAAUCGACUUCAAGGCACGUAACAACAAAAUUUGGAUGUUUGCCAUGGAAUCAGAAACUAACAGAGAUUUAAAUAUUUUGCCUUUGGACAAGUUUCAUCUACUUAUUUCAUACUCAAUUUUUAUGUGGAAGCUAAAGGAUUAGAAAUGCUUGGCGACUGAAGAGGCCAUUUAUGAGGAAUCAAUCAAUCCAUUUAUUCGACCAAUUGGUCAGCAUAAAACAUAGUAAGACAGGGUGUACAUAUAACUAAAUGCUAUAUGGUAUUUUAGUAAAAUACAUAAAUUUGAAUUUAAAAUAGAUAUAAAAGAAGUAAAACUAUAGAUUUUUAAUUAAGUGUCUAAUAGAUUGAGAAAGAUUUACAAUUGCAUAAGAAUGUUGAUCGAGAUGGGUUCAAAGUAGCAUCGAAUGAGUCAAAAUGGGAUUUUUUAUGUUCUCAGUUAAAAGAAUCUUUUAGAAUGUUGCAUCGUAGAUUUUGGGCAGCGGCACUAAACUUUGCUACUUGCACAGUUGUUUUUGAAGAUGUAUCUCCUAGGAGAUAUUCCAACCAAAAAAGUUCAGAUUUAUGAGAAAAAGGCGACAGCAGAGGGGUAAUUAGUUGUUGCCUUAAGGUCUUAUAGAGAGAGCAGUAUAGAAGUACACGUGUGUUGUUCUCAACUGUAUCUUCCCCACAGAGACACACACAAUCUUUGUACGGUAUUUUGGAUAAUCUGCCUUCCAUAACAGCUGAAGGUAAGACGUCCAUUCGGAUCUGAGAAAAAGCUUUACGAUAUUUGGGGAUUUCUAAAUUUAAUAAGUAUGGCAUUGGAGUAAAGAAUUUAGAAUUAUGUCUUUGUUUUUGAUUAACAAUAGCUGUUGUUGGUAGUCUAUGUGUUUCAGACGCUGUCGUAUGUUGACAAAAGCUGCUUCAGGUCCAAUAAGAGAAAUAAGUUGGGAGGAGAAGCCUAUCUUUGAAAGUUUAUCUGUCACUAGUCCUGCCCAAACAGAUUGGAAGUUGUCAUUUAAGAUAUCAGGGGCAAGACCAAUGGGGUUAAAAUAUUCUUGUAAGUCUUCCUGGGAUCCCAAGGCAGUGGCUCUCUGUUUUUUUUCAGGAUUUUCAGUCAUCAGCUUGGUUAUAAAAGCCUCAAGCAACGAAAUUCUUUUGUUGGCUAUUUUAUUGCUUCGUGUAGGGGGGUCUGUAUAAGGUUUUUCAAUCUGUUGAUAGUCUCCAACUGUUCUUCGGAGUUAAAGUCGGGGUACAGUUCAAGAAGCAGCAACUCUUCAGUUAUGUAUCAUGAAGGAAAGUGGAACUUUUUUCUUCCGUACUACCUCUUUGCUGAGCCAGAGGUUCAAGCUCUUCAUGUCAGAACAGCCACCCUUGGGAUCCGCCUAUGCUCAGCUGUUGUUCAGAUCCUCUCCUUUGGACUUGGCUUUUAAUCAAAAAGAAGCCCUGCCCACCCUUGCCACUGCUUCUGAAUCUGUCAUGUGCUGGUUUCCAUCAAAGUCAACAACAUCAAAUACACUGUUUAUGAAAGAAAAAAAAAACCAAUGCUCGUCAGACCAAGUUGAAGGAACCAAAAGCUUUAUUUAAAGACCCACUAGGUGGACAGAUGAUCCACCACCUGUUGAAGACCAGGCAGGAGACAUACCAUACAAUUUCACCCCACCCCACCCCACUGAUCAUGUCCCUGCCAAGUGCCCAAACUCAGGGGGGGCAGCAGCUCUGGGAUGAGACAGACAGAACAUGUCUGCCAUAUUCCUAUUGUGCUAUAUCCCACCCAAGAGAGACUGGAAUUCCCCACCUGCACAGACCUGCCCGAAGUAGUUCUCAGCAGAUGGAGGGAAUUCUUGGCCCUGAGGAUACACGGCAUGAAAUCCCCACCCCCACGUUGCUUUGUCAUUCCUGAUGAGAGAAGCCAGACUGAGCUAGCCGCUGACUGUGUCAAUGUUUGUUCAUUCUAUGCCAGGAACACACAGUGCUUGCCCGGUUGCGACAGCUUGCAUGAAGAAGCCCCUUCGGGAAGUUCUGGAAACGGGGCAAGGGAGGCGCUUCUUUGUUUCUUGCCAGAAAUAGUGGGAAGGCGCCUGACUCUGAGAGGAGCUCCCCUCAAGGAAGGAACGGGAGAGGGCCAGCUGGACUGCAAAGCAGCACACCCUGGGUGCCGCUACCUCUGGGCAAACCAGCAUCUCUGUGCCCUAGAGGGUCCCUGUUGUCACAUCAAGCCCAUGCCAGGAGUCCUCAGAGGCUGUGAUCUGCGCCCACAGCAUCCUGCACACUCCGGAAUCCCUGUUCCCUGCGCAACAGAAAAAAGACAGCACCCAGUGAGCAGACCACUCAGUGCAGCCCCAGCCCACUUCUCUGGCUUCUUGGAGCCUGGAAGGUAAAAACCGCACCCCAAGCAGGGUGCUUAUUGCCCUAAAACACCAACUCCACCCCUUGGUUCCACCCCCAGCCCUGCUACUAAAGGUAACUAAGGAGGUCCUUGGAGAGACGGACUUGUGACCUGCCAGUGAGUCACAGGAAACCAAGGAUGGCUUCUUGCACCAGCAGGGCCAAGACCACCUCCUCUUUUAUACGGUGCACUUUUAAUUGCAGACACAUACAGACAAGAGGACAGAUGUUCAGGCAAACGAUGAAAGCAAGCUCUGUGUUACCUGUGGGU